UAGGGAAUAUUGGACAAUGGGGGCAACCCUGAUCCAGCCAUGCCGCGUGAGUGAAGAAGGCCCUCGGGUUGUAAAGCUCUUUUGUCCGGAAAGAAAAGCUUCGGGUUAAUACCCCGGGGUUCUGACGGUACCGGAAGAAUAAGCACCGGCUAACUUCGUGCCAGCAGCCGCGGUAAUACGAAGGGUGCAAGCGUUACUCGGAAUUACUGGGCGUAAAGCGUGCGUAGGUGGUUGUUUAAGUCUGAUGUGAAAGCCCUGGGCUCAACCUGGGAAUGGCAGUGGAAACUGGGCAGCUAGAGUGCGGUAGAGGGUAGUGGAAUUCCCGGUGUAGCAGUGAAAUGCGUAGAGAUCGGGAGGAACAUCUGUGGCGAAGGCGACUGCCUGGACCAGCACUGACACUGAGGCACGAAAGCGUGGGGAGCAAACA
rnacentral:rRNA from 1 species